UUGACUUAAUACUUUUCAAAAGCCAAAAAGAAAUAACUCAUUCAAACCAUUUUUAGGCCUUGGUGACUAUCAAAGUUAAUUUUUUGUUAAAAUCAAUGCAUCCACAUUGGAAUUUAUAUUACGAACUCCGAGGUUUUGAUCCCUCAUUUUUAUGUUGGUACGUAGGCACAAGUCUAAAGGUCUUGUCAAACACAAAAAAUAUAAUUAAGGAAUUCUCUU
rnacentral:lncRNA from 1 species